rnacentral:ncRNA from 1 species
UCUUUAGCAACGAUUAGGAAGAGUAGGUUUUGAUGUUUGAUAGAGAGUCCUUGUUGGUGGAAAUAGGAUAAAAUAAGAAAUUGAAGGUAGCCUAGGAGCAUGUUUAUUGAAACUAAGUAGGUAAACACGUAUAACUGCGUUAAAGUUUUUGAGGCAUAAAUAUUAUGCAAAGUAAGGUGGUACCACGAGCAUUCGUCCUUAUG